AAAGGGUUUGUUUCAGAAUUCGUUGAAAACUAGGGCUAAGAAAAUGGAAGGUGAAGAGAAGAAUUCCAGGGCUAAUGGUAGAUCAAAACCUAUUGAGAUUGGUCUUGAUUCUCAUGAUGAUGAGCCCAUUAGGUCUCUAUUCAAGUUGAAGAGACCCAGAAAUCCCAAAAAGGUUAAGGUAGUUUUGGACAAGACUGAAGCUAGGGAUGAAAAAUUGGUGGCUGAUGAUGAUGACUUUGGGGGCAUGCAUGACACACUAGCCAGUUUUAGGAAGAGGGUGAAGGGUCCUAAGAAAGAUAU
rnacentral:misc_RNA from 1 species